rnacentral:lncRNA from 1 species
AUUAAGCACACAGAGAAAGAGGAAUCAGGGAGAGCAGCCACUUGCAAACAAGAUGAAGAAACUUCCUAUGUCCACCAUGGGCUACAGCAAGGAGAGCCGACCUGGUGUCAACUUGGGGACAACUAAAAAGGCUAACUUGUGAGGUGGAGGGACUGCUACAGAGUAUUGGACAAGAUUUCAUGAGAGACACUGUUUUGGGCCAUUCAGACCAACUCCCCUAUAGCUGGGAAAGCUUGUGUACCUUAACUAUAUGCUAUAUUGUUAGAUAAUUUUAAGAGUUAAGAUCACCAAUCUUGACAAGUCUUUUCAAAUUCAUUGUAAUUCUUGUCAAUUAACUAAUUGUGUAGAUCCUAAUUUAGAUAAGGAAUCUGCUGUUAUGAUUUUGUUAAAGAGGCCUGCUUAUGUUUUGCUGCCUGUAGAGUUAGAAGAUCCUUGGUUUAAAAAUCUGGGAAUGCAAACUUUGCAAAGGUAUCUACCACAGCCUUAGUUCAGCAGCUGCAUACUGCUCAUUUUGCUAAUGAUAGUAGUAGUCUUAGCAAUAGGGCAGGAUAUAGCAAAUAUUAAGGCUACAAAGGCAGAAAUUUCAGAUAUUAGCAAAAGUCACUUGGACACUUGGAACAUUGAUGAAUUGGCCAGAGAUUUAAAUAAUAACCUAAGUGCAUUGAAUCCCCUGGAUUGAGUUCAAUAUAUAAUCCUACUUGCUAUUAUUAUUGGCAUUAUUUUAUUAGUAAUUGUGUUUCCACUCAUCUUUAGAGUUUUCCCCGAGGUGGGACAUUCUGGAACUUCAUCU